AUUGAACGCUGGCGGCAGGCCUAACACAUGCAAGUCGAACGAGUGGCGGACGGGUGAGUAAUGUCUGGGCAACUGCCUGAUGGAGGGGGAUAACUACUGGAAACGGUAGCUAAUACCGCAUACCAUCGUCUGUGCCCAGAUGGGAUUAGCUAGUAGGUGGGGUAAAGGCUCACCUAGGCGACGAUCCCUCGCUGGGCUGAGAGGAUGACCAGACACACGGGAACUGAGACACGGUCCAGACCCAUACGGGAGGCAGCAGUGGGAAAUAUUGCACAAGGGGCGCAAGCCUGAUGCAGCCAUGCCGCGUGUAUGAAGAAGGCCUUCGGGUUGUAAAGUACUUUCAGCGGGGAGGCGUUACCCGCAGAAGAAGCACCGGCUAACUCCGUGCCAGCGCCGCGGUAAUAC
rnacentral:rRNA from 1 species